rnacentral:rRNA from 1 species
GGCGGACGGGGUGAGUAAUGCGUAGGAAGCUACCCGAUAGAGGGGGAUGCCAGUUGGAAACGACUGUUUAAUACCGCAUAAUGUCUACGGACCAAAAGUGUGGGACCUUCGGGGCCACAUGCUAUCGGAUGCGCCUACGUGGGAUUAGCUAGUUUGGUGAGGUAAUGGCUCACCAAGGCGACGAUCCCUAGCUGGUUUGAGAGGGAUGAUCAGCCACACUGGAACUGAGACACGGUCCCAGACUCCUACGGGAGGCAGCAGUGGGGGAAUAUUGGACAAUGGGCGCAAGCCUGAUCCAGCCAUGCCGCGUGUGUGAAGAAGGCCCAUCGGGGUUGUAAAAGCACUUUCAGUUGGGAGGGAAGGGGUUGUGUGUUAAUAGUACACAGCCUUGACGUUACCAACAGAAGAAGCACCGGCUAACUCUGUGCCAGCAGCCGCGGUAAUACAGAGGGUGCAAGCGUUAAUCGGAAUUACUGGGCGUAAAGCGCACGUAGGCGGUUUUUUAAGUCAGAUGUGAAAGCCCCGGGCUCAACCUGGGAAUUGCAUUUGAAACUGGAAAACUAGAGUGUGUGAGAGGGGGGUAGAAUUCCAAGUGUAGCGGUGAAAUGCGUAGAGAUUUGGAGGAAUACCAGUGGCGAAGGCGGCCCCCUGGCACAACACUGACGCUCAGGUGCGAAAGCGUGGGGAGCAAACUAGGAUUAGAUACCCUGGUAGUCCACGCCGUAAACGAUGUCUACUAGCUGUUCGUGACCUUGUGUCGUGAGUAGCGCAGCUAACGCACUAAGUAGACCGCC